rnacentral:lncRNA from 1 species
CUUUCGACACUCGAAACAGAAUGUCGCUCUUUGCUGGGACGUCGUCGUAUCCCGCGGAUGCGGUGGCGCCGCAGCGCAGCAUGGAGAGCGGGUUGGCGUCCAUCAGAGGUAGUGGCGGCGGCGUGCGCGCAAAUGCCCCAGUGAGGUCCUCUACAAUGCCCACCCGGUCGGUGGCUCGGUCCGGGCAACGGUGCCACAUGCCCAACUGGCGACAUUCGACAAUCGCGACAUGGGUGAGAAAGAUGCGCUCGACGGCGGCACCCAAGAGUGCCUCGGGCGACGGAUGCGGACGUGCGCCGGCAGACAGCAGCGUGCGCACGCAUCGGCGCGCUCCACACAAAAUGGCACGCACAAGAGGUGUGUGCGGCAGCACGCGCCAAGUGUAGCCGUCGCGUGCCAUCAUGCUCACAUCGUGUGCGACGUCACAGAUUUCCCGGUGCGCCCCGUCUUCUCUGCGAUUCCGAAGCCCAUCGGCGCACUCUAUCCUGUCGCGGCCGUGGAGAUAAAACACCAUGGCCGUCGGCGUAUCCCAUUUGGCCAUGGACGUGAUAGGCGGCAGGGGUUCGUCGAUCGCGCGGCGGAACCCGACGUCAAGGAUGGCCUUGAGCGUCGUGGCGUCGUCGUGACUGAUGGCAUUGUGCAAAAUGGCAACGGCCCCGACGGGGUCACUGUCGACGUCGCUGACGCCAGCGACUUUCAGUGCACGCUCUAGGCGACGCCCGAGGACCGCUUGCGCAGAAGAGGCCAACGGCGCGCCGCUCGCGGUCGUCGCCACCAGAUCGGCCGGCGGCAAUCUUUGCACGAUCUCGGCCAACAUCUCGGCGGGCAAGCGAUAGACGGCGGGCUCGGACAAAUCCACUGCAGGCAGUUUAUCUGCGGUUGUUGUUGUUGUCGUCGCGGUGCGUGCUCGCUUCUUCGCGCGCCCACCAAAAGGCACGCAUUGCGGCCUGGACGCCAUCACAACGCCGACUGUCCUCACCUCCUGUGCUACGGCUGUCGGUGCCUAUACCCAGUUUUGCGCAAGCAAACAAUUUUUUCUGGCUUGUGUCUGUAUUCGCCGUUGCACGCGCCGCGCAAAAAGAACCGACCAGGCUACUGGCCUGUUUUUAUGGAACCCCUUUGUGUGGCACCCGCUGCGAUCCCUGCCGGCCGACAGCCUUGUUCGCCGAUGGAAAAAUGCAAACCCCUAUUUUUCUUUCUGUGCUCUUUUUUUCAUUCGACAAAUGAGAUGUUUUGGUCAUCAG